rnacentral:rRNA from 1 species
GACAGAGGGUGCAAACGUUGUUCGGAAUUACUGGGCGUAAAGCGCGUGUAGGCUGCUCGGAAAGUCGGAUGUGAAAGCCCUGGGCUCAACCUAGGAAGUGCAUUCGAAACUUCCGAGCUGGAGUGCUGGAGAGGAAGGCGGAAUUCUCGGUGUAGAGGUGAAAUUCGUAGAUAUCGAGAAGAACACCGGUGGCGAAGGCGGCCUUCUGGACAGCCACUGACGCUGAGACGCGAAAGCGUGGGGAGCAAACAGG